GAUUAACGCUAGCGGCAGGCAUAAUACAUGCAAGUUGAACGAGAUAAGUUUUAGCAAUAGAACUUUGAAAGUGGCGCACGGGUGCGUAACACGUAUGCAACCUACCUUUUACAGGGGAAUAGCCUCUCGAAAGAGAGAUUAAUACCCCAUAAUAUAUUGAUAAGGCAUCUUAUUAAUAUUAAAGUUACGGCGGUAAAAGAUGGGCAUGCGGCUGAUUAGGUAGUUGGUGAGGUAAUGGCUCACCAAGCCGACGAUCAGUAGGGGGUCUGAGAGGAUGUCCCCCCACACUGGUACUGAGACACGGACCAGACUCCUACGGGAGGCAGCAGUAGGGAAUAUUGGACAAUGGGCGCAAGCCUGAUCCAGCCAUGCCGCGUGCAGGAUGAAGGCCCUAUGGGUCGUAAACUGCUUUUGUACGGGAAGAAACCUCACUACGUGUAGUGAGUUGACGGUACCGUGAGAAUAAGGAUCGGCUAACUUCGUGCCAGCAGCCGCGGUAAAAC
rnacentral:rRNA from 1 species